rnacentral:lncRNA from 1 species
ACCAAAUUGGUGUUGACGUCAACAUAGACUACUUUGGGCAUUUUGACUCAUUCUUCCAAUCAUGAAGUCUGUAGAAAUUGCGCCAGAAAGUGUGCUUGUCGCGCCUCCUCGUCACCGCUGGAUGGACAGUGCGGGGUGGUCAGUAGCUGGAGUCCGUUUUCAACGACAUGAAGUCUGGGUCUGAGCCUCUCAUUCACUCGGACAGGAGAACGACACGCAGAAGCAUGGAAUUGGAUAUUUAUUUCCAGGAAUACACAGACCAUGCAGCACAGACAGAAAACAAUGGGGGAUACAUGUCAACAGAUCCUGUCACGGUGUCUUCACAACGAUUCAACUUGGACAUUAAGCUCCACCCUGAGUCUCCACCCUACCACAACAGACCUCUGGUAACCAGCGCAGGACAGUCACUAAACAGAAGAAAAUAGACCGAAACUCUUGUGUGCAUUAAUGCAUACGACCCUGGAUACUGUUUCAGCAAACUGAAGUCUUAGGCUGUUCAGUGGACACUAGAUGGGGUAGAUCAUUACAUUGAUUGUUUUUAUUAAUGUGUUUCUAUUUUUGUAAGCUGCACUGACAUUCUGUUUUCUGGAUUGUAAACUGCUUUAAGUGCACUGUUGUGGCACAUGUUUUCAUAUGUGUAAAUAAAACCAAUCUAUAUAUUUGCCCAUUUGUGUUUUAGACAUUAUCCAUCACAGUUUGUAAUACUGAACAACUAUUGCUGCUGUAUGUAGAUAUUAACUGUACAUAGAAAAUACAUGGGUAAUAAAUAUAUAGAAAUUAACUACAUACAUAUUAAAACCUCCUAAAGGAUCAGUGUCCCUAUAUCGGGAUGGUUGUUGCUAAUGUGACUAGAAUUUUUAACCUUUUAUUUAACUAGGCUAGUCAGUUAAGAACAAAUUCUUAUUUUCAAUGACGGCCUAGGAACAGUG